GGACUGUUACAGUCAACUAGGGGACUAACGAACUCUUGGCUUUCUUAGCAAGAUGUGCAAAGAGAAGGGGAAGCACACUGAGAGAGGGGUAAAAUUGGAAAGAUCAAGACUACAGCAGUGGAAGAAAAUGUGAAAUGCUGGAGAUUCCACGGCUUUCAGCAUGGAAGAGCAGCGGUGCUGCACCCUGCACAGGCAAAGAGUCUCCUGGGAACUGCGAGCAAUGUGUUCUUGGACAACAAGAGGACAAGAGAAUUGUUCUGUAGAUACUUCUAAGGAGACAACAGUUGUAGCCCUAUCAGUCUUCAGGAGUGUUUGAGCAUACAUCCCAAACCUGUCACGUGAAUGGCAGAGGGUGGCAAUGCCUGUCGCAUUUCUGCUUUUGGAAAAGAUCAGAACCUAAUCUUCCUGAUGGCACAGCCAUUCUACAGUUUCUAUGGCAGAUCUCAGAAAAUAUGUUCCUCGUGGGAGUUAUUUAACAUCUAUUUUCAGAUGGCUGCAUAGCUACCAAAUUUUGACCAACUGCUAUAAACAAGACCUGUCUAAGGGAAGUCCAGAAGAACUCUGAAGUCUUUGUCCAUACCCUGGAGAAAGGCAUUACAAAGUGUUGCACUUCACUGCAAAUAAAACCUAGCAAAGGAUGGGAGACUCUGGGCCUGGCUGAGGGACCUUACACUCUGCAGGGUGUUUCAAGUCUGACGUGUUUUUUCCAUUACGGUGGGAAGUGGAAGCCCUAAGAAGAAGCUGUAACUUCUUACUUGGAGGAUAUCCUUAAGUAUUCUACCUGCUGCCAUGCUGGAAGAGACCUCUGGGUCGCUAUGGACAGCACAAUGAAAACAUCCAUUGACAUGCACAGUGAUGAGAAAAACAAGCAAAAUAUUAGUCUCAAUGAGGCCAGAAAAGAUUGCUGAAAAUAUUUGAGGAUCACUAAUCUCUUCAGUGAUGUAUUGUCAAAACUGUCUCUAAUUCUCUGUGUCAACACACAGACAUCAUGCUAAGGAUUUUUUGUUGGAGAGAUAUCACACACCUCAGGAUGUGGCCUGACUUUACCUGUAAGUUUGCAUCUAAAAUUUGCAUUUGAGAGAAUAGUAAUGUCUCCACUUAAAACCACCUAUAGAAUUAGGACAGUGAAGAAGUUUGUGGAUACAUAAGUCUGUUGCAGUGAUUGGGUAAAAAAAAAGUUAUAGAACUAUGACUUAGGCAAUUAUACAAAGAUUUUUCCCUUUAAAGUUUGCACAUAAAGAUAAAUAACAGACUGUAAGGAUUAGUGAGCACAUUUUAGACAACUUCCUUUAUUUUGUUGCAAAUCAUUUUCAGAGGAGGAGAGCACAGGCACAUUCUAAAAGACUGGAAAACAACCAGCCUUAUUUAAAAAGUAUAAUUACAACUGACAAAAAGUUUUUAAAAGUUAAACCCUCAGAGCAUUCCCCAGCUUUAGUUACGACCAACACUGCAGAUAACUGAAAUUGCAAAUGAAAUAGAUGUUUAUACAGCUAAAAGGCACCCAUGUUUACAUUGGCAUAGUGAAAAGGAGAGAAAAUGACAAGGAAAAUGUUCAGCAUGUAAACUCUAUUAAGGGCAGACUUCCUGUUGAUGCUAUUCCUUAAAUCACAUGUAGCCAAAAUUUUCAUGCAGUCCUCUGGCAUGUCUGAUACUGCUGGAGGAGGACUGAUGUGUGAUAGAAAAUCCUGUGAACUGUAUUUCACUCUAAUGUUUUGAUUGAGAAAGUGUACCUGCAGUAGAUUGACAGGAUACCAGAAUCUACCAUGGGAACUGCAUUUCCAUCUGGGUGGUUUCUUCAGUUCACAUCUGUGUGUACCAUAAAUUAUGAAUCUUUUUGCCAAUUUCUAUUCUAGUACUUCAUACCACAGGAAGGCAGUUGGCAAGCAGUGUUGGACAGCUAUAUGUCUGGUUAUGUUGCUGUGAAAUAAUAUGUGUUCUACACUAAAGGACUUUUAUUGGACUUAAAGUCUGAAGCCCAGAAGCAAAGUGUUUUUUUCCUCUCUGACAGAAUCAUUUGCCAAUGGCAAGUCGUGUGUGACACAGGAUACAGCCAUUAAUGUAUUUUUGGGAUUCACCAGGUUUUGUUUCAGUAUCUUUCCUGUCCUUGCAAUUCUACAGCUCUGUGUUAUGUCUCCAGCUUCUGUCUUCUGUCUGUGUGGAGACCUGAAUUUUCCCACUGCCUGCCUUUGUCUCAGUGUUCUGUUACUUUGGCCUGGUGCUGUUUCAUUGCUAGAUGAAUUACAUGUUUGAGCCUUCUUGUCAAACCACAAUAUCAAACAGGCAUAGGCUGCCUAGAAACCAUAGUCCUCUUGCCAAGGGAAGAUGUCUUUGGAAUCUUCCUAAUACCUAGGAUGACAUGUUAAUAUGACAAUCUCAGCUUUUAUUUGAAAAUUGAUUUUUCUUUUAAUAUUAAUUUUCAAAAUCUAAGUUUAAAACCAAGGUUAUCCUAAAGGAUUAUAUAUUAAAAAAUAAUCCAAUAUAAUUACUAGUUUAAAAUGUCAAGAAGUUUCAAGAUUAAGAACUUCAUGUGUAAAUGAUUAAGUUUGAUAGUACUGCAAAAAAUUUGGACAUUUCUGCUCGGCUUGAAUAGACAAAAAAACCCUUGAAGUCAAACUCUCCUUUCCAUAUUUUUUUUCUGACAAAAAGAGUUAAUAGGCCAGUCUCCUUCAUUAUCUUCAGAAGCUGGCAUAUCAUAUAACAACAAAUCAAUGAACUAAACACAUUCUAAUUAAUCACUUCAGGGUUACUUGAUUGACCACACAGUCAAUUCCUUGAAUAAAUCAAUGUAGUGUUAGAAAGUAUUUCAAGUUAAGCUUUUUGAGGACUGUGGGCUGGAAUUCAGAGGAAAGGAAAGCCACUAGAAACCAACUGAAAACAGGAAAUAUUUCCUAAACCGACAGAGAAUCGAGUCCUACUUCAGUCUUGAUAGUGUUGUGUGUCCAAUAUGAUCACAGUAGCUCACCCUGAAAUCCUGCCAGCCCAGACAUCAGAUUUGUGGGUUAGUGAGAUUGUGGUCCCAGCUCUUCAGCUAAGGUCUAGACAAUGUACUGAUUUGACCAUGCUCUCUAUGCUCACUGUGCUAAUCUGAACCAGCUCUGAAAUCAACCCUGGUGUGAGGCAGAAGCUCAGUAACCUUAUGACACUAAUUUAGAGGGAAGCUUGGGCUGGUAUCAAAGGAAGGAACCACAGUGCUGAACUCCUGCUCAGCUUUUCUUAUCUCCUGCUCCUGGAUAGAUGACUGUGAACCAGUGCAGAGACUAGCUCUACUUUGUGAGGAAAAAAGGUUAUUUUUUAUCAUGGUGCCUUAAAGCUUUCAAUCAAGGAGGAAAAGUAGCAUAUAAUGGAGGGGUAUUUGCCCUCCUUGCAGCUUCACAGCAGCUUCUGAGACAAAGUAAAGUGACUAAAGUGGCAUCGUUAAAGCACGUCACUCUACUUAAAGAUGUUAUUAUGCAAGUAACCUUUCUGAAAUCAGCUAGUACUUGAACAACACUAAAAUCUGCCAGUAUGGCUUUGGUUGUUCCCUCGAUGUCCCCAAAUGGCUGCUGACAUGUACAAAGCUGUCUGGCACCACAUUUCUAACACUGAUGAGUUUAUAUUUCAGGCAUGUGGGGAGAGCUCCUGAUGGCCCAACCUGGUCCUUUACCUUCCAGCAAAAGGUGGGUCACAAUCAAGGGACUGAAACGUCUGUCAUACAAGGAAAGGCUGAGAGAGCUGGGACUGUCCAGCCAGGGGAAGAGAAGGCUCAGUAAAGAAGACAGAGCCAGGGUCUUCCCUGUGGUAUGCAAUGAGCAGACAACAGACAAUGAGUAUAAAUUGAAACACAAGAAA